rnacentral:rRNA from 1 species
AGAGUCCUACGGGGCGCAGCAGUGGGGAAUAUUGCACAAUGGGCGAAAGCCUGAUGCAGCAACGCCGCGUGAGCGAUGAAGGCCUUCGGGUCGUAAAGCUCUGUCCUCAAGGAAGAUAAUGACGGUACUUGAGGAGGAAGCCCCGGCUAACUACGUGCCAGCAGCCGCGGUAAUACGUAGGGGGCUAGCGUUAUCCGGAAUUACUGGGCGUAAAGGGUGCGUAGGUGGGGUCUUAAGUCAGAGGUGAAAGGCUACGGCUCAACCGUAGUAAGCCUUCGAAACUGGGAAACUUGAGUGCAGGAGAG